AAAAAAAAAAAAAAAAAAAAAACCCAAAACAGACUUACGCUGCAGAAAGAAAAGGAGAACCGAGAAAGAACGAUAGAGAAAGAACUUCGGUCUGUCAUAGAUGGUGGAGAGAGAAAAAUCUGAGAAGAAAGUCAUGCUUUGCCACCAUCAGACAACCGUACCCUCCACCAGUAUGGUCUCUGUUUUUUUUGUACCGAAGAAAUGAAGUGGAAUCUUUCUACAAUCUAGAGUAUGUAAUUUAAUAAAAGCAAAUUGUUCGAUUAAGGUUUGUUGGAACCGCAAGCACAGAGAGACAUGCUGUUAAGCCGUAACCGGAUAAAACUUCAAAUGGAAGAUUAAGACCUAGGGUAAAAGUGUUUGUGAACAUGUGCAGAGAGAGAAGCCUAUAAUUGCCAGGAAACAGAGGUCUCUUCUAAUGAAACCUUGCAGCAAGCUGUUCUCCCAGGUCCAUCACAGAUUCUGAUGCAUACCUCUCAUUUCUUUCAAGACUUUGUUUGCUCAAGUAAUCCAAUUUAUUGCUCUCCUAACUCAUUAUUAUUCUCAACUUUAUUCCCAUCAUCUAUUAGAGUUUCAAUUUUCACUUGGUUUGGAAUUUGUUCUUCUCAGAUUGAAGUUGCCGAUUUAUGCCCAAUAUGUUUAGAAUGAGAAUUUAAUCUAAAGUUAAUUCAUAUGCACUUGAAUAUUGUCGAGGCAAAUUUGGUUAGAUAUGGGCUCAAAUUGCAAAUUUGGAAGUACUAAUACAUAUGUGUUUAGGAAUUUUUUUUGUUAUAUUUGAAUUUUACAAUGAUUCAUUAAGUGUUGUUUCUUUUACAUGUACACAAGUUGUUUGAUAAAAUUUUUAAGUGAUGUUUUGUUGGCCUUUUUUAUUCUCUUCCCCAGUGAUGCUAUUAACCCAAAGCACUGACUCCUUCAAGGUCACUCUUUUCCUCCCUUUCCAACAAAAUUGCAUCAUUUAAUUGAGAAUCGUUUUAACUUUUAUUUAGUUUUACUAAUUCUAUAUAGAUUAAAAAAGAGUUGUAGCUGUACUUUCCUUUAUUUUAAUUUUUGUUUGUUAGCCCACCAAGGAGGUUAAAUUUAACUUUAAUAUUGUUAUUUUGUUGUGAAAGUUUAAUACGUAGAACAAGCUUCUUCUUCUUCUUCUUCUUUUUUGUGUGUGCAUGUUAUCCCAUUUAUAAAAUCCACUAAAAAUUGAAACUAUCUAUGUUUGGUAUGGUUUUUGGAGCCUAGAUAAGCCUGCUGUGAGGUAAUAACUUUUUAAAAUAAAAAAACAUAAAACAGUGAGAAAUGCUUCUGUCAUUGAUGAUGGAAUUCAUAUAGCAACUGAUAUCUAUUGGUAAGCUAUCUCGGUAAGUGAAAAAGAUAUUACAAUACAUAGUCUUCUGUCACAUAAUUUACAGAAACUACGAUUGCAGGUUACAAGAUGAGAAAGCAUGGUUUUUUUAUUUUAUUUUUAUUUUUAUAUUGUAAGAGCCUAUUGCAUUAUCAAUAAAGAAUUUGUUGUGCCAAGGAUAUUUAAAAAAGAAUUUCGGACCCAUUAGAUUGAGAAGUCUUUUUUACUCAUAAGCCUAACUUAGUUACUUCUUGAAGUAUUUUUCUGCAAUGCUUGAUUUUUAUUUAUGCAGUAAGUUUUGGAUGUUCUAAAAGAUGUUUUCAAAAUAAAAAAGUCUUGAAGAUGUUAGCAUUAUUUGAAGAGUGAAUUGCACUAGAAAUAGGAUCAACAGAGGUAUCCAGUUUGUGCUGAAAAUUUAGAACUGGGUAUUGUUUAGAGUAGUUCAUCUAAUGAGGAGAAAGAAUACUCUAUUUAGGUAGUAUUUCUGCACUAACAAAUGCACUUAAGAAAUGAGAACCAUGAGAAUGAAAAAGAAAACUUGAUACUUCACAACUACUAAGUUUGGUUUAGGAUAUCAAAUUUUAAGGCCUACUGUUAUUGGCAUCAUAAAGCACAAAACAGCUUACUAUGUUCUGUUUUCCUUGAAUUCUUGGUACUAUUUAGUUAGGAAAGAUGAUUGUUAAAUUGUAUUAAUGUUAUAGGUUAUAGCAUCUUAUAACACUGAUCUUGAAUGCCAUUUGAUAUUCUAUUAUGAAUUAAACUAUCAAAAAGGGUAAGGAUAAGUGUAGUAGUCAAUUAAAAAAAAAAAAAAAAAAAAAAACAAAGAUAUAUCAUCUAUCUUAACAUUUAUUUAGAGAUUGUUUGAGUAAUGUGUAAUGAGCAUUGACUUUACUGUGCAUUUGUUGAGUUUGCAGCAUCUUUACCUGUUUGAUAAAAUGUGUUUGGAAUUGCAAUUUUUUACUGUCAUUUUUUUCUCCCAAAUGUAAGACUAAUUGGAGUGCAAAUUUGUUGGGUCUAAAUUUGCUGAAUUAUUUGUUGGUUCUUAAUUUCACUAAUUUUUGCAUAUAGGCUCAGGCUGCUGUUCUUCCUGUUAAAUAAGCAAUGUUGUACUCAAAAAAAAAAAAAAAAAAAAAAGCAAUGUUGUACUCAAAGUUGUUGGUUUGUAAGUGAAUGGUUUGAUUCAAGUGCUAAUUUUAAGGUAGAUCAAGAUGUUUUUUCAUAUCUAGGUGUGAGUAGACUCAGGUUUGAAUUGGUUUUUGUUCUGGAUUCAAUUGACCUAAAACACUAUUAUGAUUCCAUUAAUCAUUUUCAAUCUUCUUCCAAUAGCCAAAUAGAUAGUUAGAGUUCUCUUUGAUCUUUUUUUUUCUGCUAUGUUUUGUAAUCAAGUUGGCUUAUUUGUGUGUUUGUGAGGUUUUCAAAUUCAGUCGAACUCAAUGAUUACAUUGUCUUGCUUUUAAGGGUUUUGAGUUCUAUUAGUGAUUAUUCUUUAAGUGUUGAAAAUGCAUGAUUUAUGUUUUAGGAAAAAAUUUAGUAAUUCCCACACAUGAAGUGCUGUUUUUACCUAAAGUUAAUAUGUCUAGAAGUUCACAUUACAACUAUAAUUACAAAAGACAAAAGACAAUACUUUAUGAGCUUAUGAUUGUCAAAUGCUAUAAUUACGAUCUUCAUUUUUAUUAUUGUUACUGGAUUACCAUAUUUUGAACCCUUGCUUUUGGUACAUCUAAAUAUGGUAGAGAUCAUUUUCAAUUCAUAAGACUCAAUCUGGUUUGUGACUUAUCAUGUUUUAAUUAGAAAAGAAGUUUUGGCUUCACAUCUGCCACUUAUCUUUUAAAUUUUGUAGCACAUUUCUAGGAGUUGUAUGAAUAACCACAGUAAGGAAGUCUCUAUUGCAUGAGUGAUUUGUCAUUAACAAUACAAUGUCCAAAUAAAUUGAAAGCUAAUAUCAAGAAUCAGGUGGGGAUUUUAUCUGGUGUAGCAGUUGCUGCUCCGAUAAAGGUGGUAAAAGAAUGCUCAAUGAUAGAAAACUCAUUGUUGCACAAAGGAGCUUGCACAGGCCUUGAGAGAGAAAAAAGAAUCCUUGGUUAUAUUGAGGCUGGUGUUGCUGCAACAUGGUCUCAUUCUUUUAAUGUGUUGUGGCUUAAUUGAGAAGAGCUAGGAGAAGUUUGUUGAUUCUAUGUUGAAGAAAGCUAAGAUGAAAGCAUACAUGCAAAAAUCUUCUAGCAACCAAGAAGAAAAAUUUAUGUGAGAGAAGAAAUGGUGGUGGCAGAGUUGCCGUCUUGUCCAAAAAUCAUGUAUUAUUGGUAUUAUAUUAUAAAUGAUCCUAAUUUUGUACGCUGCUUCCUUUCUUUUGUUUUAUUAGCUGAUAAUCAGGGAGUUGCAACUCAAGGUAUUUCUUCCUAAUUUGUUGCUGACUAAGUAGUUCAAAUUUCAAACCCCUCCCUUAAAAACCUCUAUGCACCCAAAAUGUGGGGAGGUACCAUCCCGCCUACAAAGGCAACGUUUUUAACAGAGAUGUUGAAGGUUCAGCAUGAUGAAAUGGUGCCUUUGGGAUGAGGUGAGACAUUACAUUGAAGAAGAUUAGAAGUUGACAGUUUACAUGAAGCGAUAAGGCAUUUGAAAUUGGAGCUAGAUGCCAAAACCUGCUGGUAGGAAAUGUGUAUAUAUAAAAAGCUUUAUUCAUAUGAAAACCAUUGUAUUAAAUUUAGUGGGUCGAAUUCUGAUUUAGAUGAAUGGAUAGUUCAGAACACUGUGUAAGUGUGUAUGUCUAUCUGUCUAUAUAUAUAUAUAUUAUUUUUU